rnacentral:rRNA from 1 species
CCUACGGGAGGCAGCAGUGAGGAAUAUUGGUCAAUGGGCGCUAGCCUGAACCAGCCAAGUAGCGUGAAGGAUGACUGCCCUAUGGGUUGUAAACUUCUUUUAUAUGGGAAUAAAAUGUUCCACGUGUGGGAUUUUGUAUGUACCAUAUGAAUAAGGAUCGGCUAACUCCGUGCCAGCAGCCGCGGUAAUACGGAGGAUCCGAGAGUUAUCCGGAUUUAUUGGGUUUAAAGGGAGCGUAGGUGGAUUGUUAAGUCAGUUGUGAAAGUUUGCGGCUCAACCGGAAAAUUGCAGUUGAAACUGGCAGUCUUGAGUACAGUAGAGGUGGGCGGAAUUCGUGGUGUAGCGGUGAAAUGCUUAGAUAUCACGAAGAACUCCGAUUGCGAAGGCAGCUCACUGGACUGCAACUGACACUGAGGCUCGAAAGUGUGGGUAUCAAACAGGAUUAGAUACCCUGGUAGUC